rnacentral:rRNA from 1 species
UACGGAGGGGGCUAGCGUUGUUCGGAAUUACUGGGCGUAAAGCGCGCGUAGGCGGACCUGCAAGUCGGGGGUGAAAGCCCGAGGCUCAACCUCGGAACUGCCUUCGAUACUGCGGGUCUCGAGUCCGGGAGAGGUGAGUGGAAUUCCUAGUGUAGAGGUGAAAUUCGUAGAUAUUAGGAAGAACACCAGUGGCGAAGGCGGCUCACUGGCCCGGUACUGACGCUGAGGCGCGAAAGCGUGAGGAGCAAACAGG